AUUGAACGCUGGCGGCAUGCCUUACACAUGCAAGUCGAACGGUAACGGGCCUUCGGGUGCCGACGAGUGGCGAGCGGGUGAGUAAUACAUCGGAACGUGCCCGAUCGUGGGGGAUAACGAGGCGAAAGCUUUGCUAAUACCGCAUACGAUCUACGGAUGAAAGCAGGGGACCGCAAGGCCUUGCGCGGACGGAGCGGCCGAUGGCAGAUUAGGUAGUUGGUGGGAUAAAAGCUUACCAAGCCGACGAUCUGUAGCUGGUCUGAGAGGAUGAUCAGCCACACUGGGACUGAGACACGGCCCAGACUCCUACGGGAGGCAGCAGUGGGGAAUUUUGGACAAUGGGCGCAGGCCUGAUCCAGCCAUGCCGCGUGCAGGAUGAAGGCCUUCGGGUUGUAAACUGCUUUUGUACGGAACGAAAAGCCUUCUUUUAAUACAGGAGGGUCAUGACGGUACCGUAAGAAUAAGCACCGGCUAACUACGUG
rnacentral:rRNA from 1 species